AUUGAACGCUGGCGGCAUGCUUUACACAUGCAAGUCGAACGGUAACAGGGUGCUUGCACCGCUGACGAGUGGCGAACGGGUGAGUAAUGCGUCGGAGCGCACCGAGUAAUGGGGGAUAACGCAGCGAAAGCUGUGCUAAUACCGCAUACGCUCUGAGGAGGAAAGCGGGGGACCUUCGGGCCUCGCGUUAUUCGAGCGGCCGACGUCUGAUUAGCUAGUAGGUGAGGUAAGAGCUCACCUAGGCGACGAUCAGUAGCGGGUCUGAGAGGAUGAUCCGCCACACUGGGACUGAGACACGGCUCAGACUCCUACGGGAGGCAGCAGUGGGGAAUUUUGGACAAUGGGCGCAAGCCUGAUCCAGCCAUGCCGCGUGUCUGAAGAAGGCCUUCGGGUUGUAAAGGACUUUUGUCAGGGAGGAAAUCCUUAGCGCUAAUACCGUUGAGGGAUGACAGUACCUGAAGAAUAAGCACCGGCUAACUACGUGCCAGCAGCCGCAGUAA
rnacentral:rRNA from 1 species